ensembl:snRNA U6 U6 spliceosomal RNA
GUGCUCGCUUUGUCAGCACAUACACUAAAAUUGAAACAAUACAGAGAUUAGCAUGGCCCCUGCGUGAGGAUGACAAUCAGGUUAUCUUAAAUAAAUAAAUAGAA